rnacentral:tRNA from 2 species
GGGUGCAUAGCUCAGGUGGUAGAGCAGCUGCCUUUUAAGCAGCGGGUCCAAGGUUCGAGUCCUUGUGCACCCACCA